GCAGUGGGGAAUUUUGGACAAUGGGCGCAAGCCUGAUCCAGCAAUGCCGCGUGAGUGAAGAAGGCCUUCGGGUUGUAAAGCUCUUUUGUCAGGGAAGAAACGGCUGAGGUUAAUACCUUUGGCUAAUGACGGUACCUGAAGAAUAAGCACCGGCUAACUACGUGCCAGCAGCCGCGGUAAUACGUAGGGUGCAAGCGUUAAUCGGAAUUACUGGGCGUAAAGCGUGCGCAGGCGGUUUUGUAAGUCUGACGUGAAAUCCCCGGGCUCAACCUGGGAAUUGCGUUGGAGACUGCAAGGCUAGAAUCUGGCAGAGGGGGGUAGAAUUCCACGUGUAGCAGUGAAAUGCGUAGAGAUGUGGAGGAACACCGAUGGCGAAGGCAGCCCCCUGGGUCAAGAUUGACGCUCAUGCACGAAAGCGUGGGGAGCAAACAGGAUUAGA
rnacentral:rRNA from 1 species